GAUGAACGCUGGCGGCGUGCCUAAUACAUGCAAGUCGAACGCUUCACUUCGGUGAAGAGUGGCGAACGGGUGAGUAAUACAUAAGUAACCUGGCAUCUACAGGGGGAUAACUGAUGGAAACGUCAGCUAAGACCGCAUAGGUGUAGAGAUCGCAUGAACUCUAUAUGAAAAGUGCUACGGGACAGGUAGAUGAUGGACUUAUGGCGCAUUAGCUGGUUGGUAGGGUAACGGCCUACCAAGGCGACGAUGCGUAGCCGACCUGAGAGGGUGACCGGCCACACUGGGACUGAGACACGGCCCAGACUCCUACGGGAGGCAGCAGUAGGGAAUUUUCGGCAAUGGGGGAAACCCUGACCGAGCAACGCCGCGUGAAGGAAGAAGUAAUUCGUUAUGUAAACUUCUGUCAUAGAGGAAGAACGGUGGAUAUAGGGAAUGAUAUCCAAGUGACGGUACUCUAUAAGAAAGCCACGGCUAACUACGUGCCAGCAGCCGCCGCGG
rnacentral:rRNA from 1 species